rnacentral:rRNA from 1 species
GUCUACGGCCAUACCACCCUGAACGCGCCCGAUCUCGUCUGAUCUCGGAAGCUAAGCAGGGUCGGGCCUGGUUAGUACUUGGAUGGCCGGGCGCGGUGGCUC